rnacentral:lncRNA from 1 species
GCUGAUACGGAAUCCGAAAAUCUACAGGCUUGAGGAUCUUGGUUAUGACAGGUACACUUAAAGAAUUAUCAAUCGGGGACCUAUGACUCGAACUGUCUGCUGCUAAACCAAGAUUUUACGAUUUCCAUCUCUGCAUCUGUAAUUGCAUAUCCAACAUGGACAUUUGUAGCAUUUUGAGUCAAAUUAGGUCCAGAAGAGGCUGGAUCCUGUUUAAACCUCUUAACAGAACCAGACUUCCUCCUUUUAGCUCCCGUGCGACGAUCACUCUGAACUGAUUUCCCACGGUCAACCUUUGGUAACCCAUUUACAGGUCCAUCACCUUCAGCAGCUCUGCCUUCUUGAAACCGAAUUGCAAGCUUAUCUUUAUUGCCCCCUUCAGAAGAUAAUGCACCUUUUAGCUCACUGAGUUUGGUAUCAUAAUCAUUUUCAUGCUUUGUCUCGUCAAUUUUCUUUGAACCGUUAGCAGAAUUGUCAUCCUUAACUCUUUUAGCUGUCACUGUUAUUUGUUUCAUUGAAAAGACCAAGAUGCUGGACGGGAUGAGCUCCAGGAAUUCCUUUGUUAGGCGAGAUUACAAAGACUAUUCCAUGGCCAUGGAAGUGUCCCGGUACAUUUGCAAAAAUGGAUGUGUUAGAAAAGGAGGAAACACUACCAUUUUUGGAAACCGAAUGGUAGUAGUUUUGUUAUUAAUUUUGUAUUAUGCAUAAAGUUAGAUUUAGUCUAUAUUCUCUAGAUCAUUUUUAAUCAUUAUAAUUUUUGAAUUUUAGUCUUAAUACAAACGUUAAUAAUUAAAUCUAUUGAAUGCUUUUAUAUAGUAAUAUGUAAAAAUAACAAGCUGACAUAAUAUUACACAUGCCAUAAUAUAUUUGCCGCAUCAAAUUUUAAAAAUAACAAAACCUAUCUUAAUAAUUUAAUUGCUAUCAUCUAAUCUCAUGUUCUAUGUUCCCUUGAAGUUGAGCACCUUGAUCCACUAAAUCUUUCCUCUUUGUAUACCCUCCUCAAGCACAG